rnacentral:sRNA from 1 species
AAUUGAGGCUCACAAAAACUUGGUGACUCGCCCAAGGUCAUACAGCUUCCUGGUGACGAAGCCCAGGCUCCAACUUGCUUUCCUGGCUCCCCAGUCAGUGUUUGCCCAGCUCUGCCCUGUUCCCUCCUAGUCCCUUCACCCACUGCCGCCUGGAUUCAGCCUGGCUGAGAGGGUGAAGCCAUGUGGCCUUGGUGGCUAAUGGUAGAACAGUUGUCUUGCUUCUCAUCACAUACUUGGUGCCAGUGGGUGGGAGUACUAUGGGCUUCCCAGGCUCAGGGUGUAAUGUCAGCACCUCCCCCCCCCCACCCAGCCACCCGCUGCCCCGACGAGUCGGAACUAUACCGAGAUCCGGGAGAAGCUCCGCUCGAGGCUGACCAGGCGGAAAGAGGAGCUGCCCAUGAAGGGGGGCACCCUGGGCGGGAUCCCUGGGGAGCCCGCCGUGGACCACCGAGAUGUGGAUGAGCUGCUGGAAUUCAUCAACAGCACGGAGCCCAAAGUCCCCAACAGCGCCAGGGCCGCCAAGCGGGCCCGGCACAAGCUGAAAAAGAAGGAAAAGGAGAAGGCCCAGUUGGCAGCAGAAGCUCUAAAGCAGGUGAACCGUGUUUCUGGAAGCCGGGAGCCAAGGCCUGCCAGGGAGAGGCUCUUGGAGUGGCCCGAUCGGGAACUGGAUCGGGUCAACAGCUUCCUGAGCAGCCGUCUGCA